rnacentral:rRNA from 1 species
AGAGUUUGAUCAUGGCUCAGAAUCAACGCUGGCGGCGUGCCUAACACAUGCAAGUCGAACGAGAAAGUCCGCAAGGAUGAGUAAAGUGGCGACCGGGUGAGUAACACGUGACUACCUACCUCGAGUGGGGGAUAACUCCGGGAAACCGGGGCUAAUACCGCAUAACAUCGAGAGAUCAAAGGAGCAAUUCGCUUGAGGAG